rnacentral:rRNA from 1 species
CUGUGAGCUCGAUGAGUAGGGCGGGACACGUGGUAUCCUGUCUGAAUAUGGGGGGACCAUCCUCCAAGGCUAAAUACUCCUGACUGACCGAUAGUGAACCAGUACCGUGAGGGAAAGGCGAAAAGAACCCCGGCGAGGGGAGUGAAAAAGAACCUGAAACCGUGUACGUACAAGCAGUGGGAGCACGCUUCGGCGUGUGACUGCGUACCUUUUGUAUAAUGGGUCAGCGACUUAUAUUCUGUAGCAAGGUUAACCGAAUAGGGGAGCCGAAGGGAAACCGAGUCUUAACUGGGCGUUAAGUUGCAGGGUAUAGACCCGAAACCCGGUGAUCUAGCCAUGGGCAGGUUGAAGGUUGGGUAACACUAACUGGAGGACCGAACCGACUAAUGUUGAAAAAUUAGCGGAUGACUUGUGGCUGGGGGUGAAAGGCCAAUCAAACCGGGAGAUAGCUGGUUCUCCCCGAAAGCUAUUUAGGUAGCGCCUCGUGAAUUCAUCUCCGGGGGUAGAGCACUGUUUCGGCAAGGGGGUCAUCCCGACUUACCAACCCGAUGCAAACUGCGAAUACCGGAGAAUGUUAUCACGGGAGACACACGGCGGGUGCUAACGUCCGUCGUGAAGAGGGAAACAACCCAGACCGCCAGCUAAGGUCCCAAAGUCAUGGUUAAGUGGGAAACGAUGUGGGAAGGCCCAGACAGCCAGGAUGUUGGCUUAGAAGCAGCCAUCAUUUAAAGAAAGCGUAAUAGCUCACUGGUCGAGUCGGCCUGCGCGGAAGAUGUAACGGGGCUAAACCAUGCACCGAAGCUGCGGCAGCGACACUAUGUGUUGUUGGGUAGGGGAGCGUUCUGUAAGCCUGUGAAGGUGUACUGUGAGGUAUGCUGGAGGUAUCAGAAGUGCGAAUGCUGACAUAAGUAACGAUAAAGCGGGUGAAAAGCCCGCUCGCCGGAAGACCAAGGGUUCCUGUCCAACGUUAAUCGGGGCAGGGUGAGUCGACCCCUAAGGCGAGGCCGAAAGGCGUAGUCGAUGGGAAACAGGUUAAUAUUCCUGUACUUGGUGUUACUGCGAAGGGGGGACGGAGAAGGCUAUGUUGGCCGGGCGACGGUUGUCCCGGUUUAAGCGUGUAGGCUGGUUUUCCAGGCAAAUCCGGAAAAUCAAGGCUGAGGCGUGAUGACGAGGCACUACGGUGCUGAAGCAACAAAUGCCCUGCUUCCAGGAAAAGCCUCUAAGCAUCAGGUAACAUCAAAUCGUACCCCAAACCGACACAGGUGGUCAGGUAGAGAAUACCAAGGCGCUUGAGAGAACUCGGGUGAAGGAACUAGGCAAAAUGGUGCCGUAACUUCGGGAGAAGGCACGCUGAUAUGUAGGUGAAGUCCCUCGCGGAUGGAGCUGAAAUCAGUCGAAGAUACCAGCUGGCUGCAACUGUUUAUUAAAAACACAGCACUGUGCAAACACGAAAGUGGACGUAUACGGUGUGACGCCUGCCCGGUGCCGGAAGGUUAAUUGAUGGGGUUAGCGCAAGCGAAGCUCUUGAUCGAAGCCCCGGUAAACGGCGGCCGUAACUAUAACGGUCCUAAGGUAGCGAAAUUCCUUGUCGGGUAAGUUCCGACCUGCACGAAUGGCGUAAUGAUGGCCAGGCUGUCUCCACCCGAGACUCAGUGAAAUUGAACUCGCUGUGAAGAUGCAGUGUACCCGCGGCAAGACGGAAAGACCCCGUGAACCUUUACUAUAGCUUGACACUGAACAUUGAGCCUUGAUGUGUAGGAUAGGUGGGAGGCUUUGAAGUGUGGACGCCAGUCUGCAUGGAGCCGACCUUGAAAUACCACCCUUUAAUGUUUGAUGUUCUAACGUUGGCCCGUGAUCCGGGUUGCGGACAGUGUCUGGUGGGUAGUUUGACUGGGGCGGUCUCCUCCUAAAGAGUAACGGAGGAGCACGAAGGUUGGCUAAUCCUGGUCGGACAUCAGGAGGUUAGUGCAAUGGCAUAAGCCAGCUUGACUGCGAGCGUGACGGCGCGAGCAGGUGCGAAAGCAGGUCAUAGUGAUCCGGUGGUUCUGAAUGGAAGGGCCAUCGCUCAACGGAUAAAAGGUACUCCGGGGAUAACAGGCUGAUACCGCCCAAGAGUUCAUAUCGACGGCGGUGUUUGGCACCUCGAUGUCGGCUCAUCACAUCCUGGGGCUGAAGUAGGUCCCAAGGGUAUGGCUGUUCGCCAUUUAAAGUGGUACGCGAGCUGGGUUUAGAACGUCGUGAGACAGUUCGGUCCCUAUCUGCCGUGGGCGCUGGAGAACUGAGGGGGGCUGCUCCUAGUACGAGAGGACCGGAGUGGACGCAUCACUGGUGUUCGGGUUGUCAUGCCAAUGGCACUGCCCGGUAGCUAAAUGCGGAAGAGAUAAGUGCUGAAAGCAUCUAAGCACGAAACUUGCCCCGAGAUGAGUUCUCCCUGACUCCCUGAGAGUCCUGAAGGAACGUUGAAGACGACGACGUUGAUAGGCCGGGUGUGUAAGCGCAGCGAUGCGUUGAGCUAACCGGUACUAAUGAACCGUGAGGCUUAACCUU